GGAUUGAUGAUCGAGUGGUUUAUGGUGUAAUAUUUGAGAUAUUAAGUACUUUUAUAGUACCGUAGGUUCGAAUCCUACUCAAUCCG
rnacentral:tRNA from 2 species